rnacentral:rRNA from 1 species
UUCCCAGACUCCUACGGGAGGCAGCAGUGAGGAAUAUUGGUCAAUGGGCGAGAGCCUGAACCAGCCAAGUCGCGUGAGGGACGACGGCCCUACGGGUUGUAAACCUCUUUUGCCGGGGGACAAACGGCGGCACGCGUGCCGUCCUGAGGGUACCCGGAGAAAAAGCAUCGGCUAACUCCGUGCCAGCAGCCGCGGUAAUACGGAGGAUGCGAGCGUUAUCCGGAUUUAUUGGGUUUAAAGGGAGCGUAGGUGGAUUGUUAAGUCAGUUGUGAAAGUUUGCGGCUCAACCGUAAAAUUGCAGUUGAAACUGGCAGUCUUGAGUACAGUAGAGGUGGGCGGAAUUCGUGGUGUAGCGGUGAAAUGCUUAGAUAUCACGAAGAACUCCGAUUGCGAAGGCAGCUCACUGGACUGCAACUGACACUGAGGCUCGAAAGUGUGGGUAUCAAACAGGAUUAGAUACCCCGGUACGG